UGCAGCCGAGCGGUAUGGAUCUUUCGGGAUCCAGAGAGCGGCGUACGGGUGCGGAACACGUGUGCAACCUGCCUUUAUCAGGGGGAUAGCCUUUCGAAAGGAAGAUUAAUACCCCAUAAUAUUUAGAAUGGCAUCAUUUUAAAUUGAAAACUCCGGUGGAUAGAGAUGGGCACGCGCAAGAUUAGAUAGUUGGUGAGGUAACGGCUCACCAAGUCUGCGAUCUUUAGGGGGCCUGAGAGGGUGAUCCCCCACACUGGUACUGAGACACGGACCAGACUCCUACGGGAGGCAGCAGUGAGGAAUAUUGGACAAUGGGUGCGAGCCUGAUCCAGCCAUCCCGCGUGAAGGACGACGGCCCUAUGGGUUGUAAACUUCUUUUGUAUAGGGAUAAACCUACCCUCGUGAGGGUAGCUGAAGGUACUAUACGAAUAAGCACCGGCUAACUCCGUGCCAGCAGCCGCGGUAAUACGGAGGGUGCAAGCGUUAUCCGGAUUUAUUGGGUUUAAAGGGUCCGUAGGCUGAUGUGUAAGUCAGUGGUGAAAUCUCACAGCUUAACUGUGAAACUGCCAUUGAUACUGCAUGUCUUGAGUGUUGUUGAAGUAGCUGGAAUAAGUAGUGUAGCGGUGAAAUGCAUAGAUAUUACUUAGAACACCAAUUGCGAAGGCAGGUUACUAAGCAACAACUGACGCUGAUGGACGAAAGCGUGGGGAGCGAACAGGAUUAGAUACCCUGGUAGUCCACGCCGUAAACGAUGCUAACUCGUUUUUGGGUUUUCGGAUUCAGAGACUAAGCGAAAGUGAUAAGUUAGCCACCUGGGGAGUACGAACGCAAGUUUGAAACUCAAAGGAAUUGACGGGGGCCCGCACAAGCGGUGGAUUAUGUGGUUUAAUUCGAUGAUACGCGAGGAACCUUACCAAGGCUUAAAUGGGAAAUGACAGGUUUAGAAAUAG
rnacentral:rRNA from 1 species